UACGGAGGGUGCGAGCGUUACCCGGAUUUACUGGGCGUAAAGGGCGUGUAGGCGGUUUUCUAAGCCCGGGGCUAAAGACCAGGGCUCAACCCUGGGUUUGCCUUGGAUACUGGAAAGCUCGACGGCUGGAGGGGGGAGCGGAAUUUCCUGAGUAGCGGUGAAAUGCGCAGAUACCGGAAGCAACGCCAAUAGCGAAGGUAGCUGCCGGGACAGUACGUGACGCUGAGGCGCGAAAGCGUGGGGAGCAAACCGG
rnacentral:rRNA from 1 species